GUGGAUUAGAUACCCUAGUAGUCCUAGCUGUAAACGAUGUGGACUAGGUGUUGGUGGGGUAAAAGCCAUCGGUGCCGAAGCCAACGCGGUAAGUCCACCGCCUGGGGACUACGGCCGCAAGGUUAAAACUCAAAGGAAUUGACGGGGGCCCGCACAAGCAGCGGAGCGUGUGGUUUAAUUCGAUGCUACACGAAGAACCUUACCCGGGUUUGACAUACAGGUAGUAGGGAACCGAGAGGGGACCGAUCCUUCGGGAAGCCUGAACAGGUGCUGCACGGCUGUCGCCAGCU
rnacentral:rRNA from 1 species